rnacentral:rRNA from 1 species
CCUACGGGAGGCAGCAGUAGGGAAUCUUCCGCAAUGGACGCAAGUCUGACGGAGCAACGCCGCGUGAGUGAUGAAGGUUUUCGGAUCGUAAAGCUCUGUUGCCCUAGACGAACAGCAUGAGGAGUAACUGCCUUGUGUGUGACGGUAUAGGAGAAGAAAGCCCCGGCUAACUACGUGCCAGCAGCCGCGGUAAUA